rnacentral:piRNA from 1 species
UAACUGCUUUGGGGACAAGCUGCCCA